rnacentral:lncRNA from 1 species
CCAGCACCUAUACUACCCUACUGACAAAGUUAUAGCAAAUAUGUAUAUAUUUUCAUCUGGUACACAUUAUCCUAACCUUGAAAUAAGAAAUCUCCUAAAUUCCGUCUUUUACCAAAUUGCACUGUUUGAAAGAAGAAGGCAUUCAAACUCAAUCACACACAGAUUUUGCAGGCUACAGUUGCAAGCUUGAGUCCUGGGUCUCUCUAGGAAGGACCAGCAGAAAUUAUGACAUGAAUCUCUGAUUAUUUUCCUAGCUGUGAGACAACUGAUUACUUUUCUCAGAAUUGAUUUAUGGGUUGUUUUUCCACAAAAUAUUUUACUAUAGAACAGUUGAUGUUUGCAUUACAGAAAAAUUGCAUUAGUUCAGAGCAGAAAUGGAAACUGAACAAUUGAGGUGUUUAGAUCCUUCUUGAUUAUCAUAUUUUUUCAAUCAUAGGGAGAUACUGUCAUUGUGGAAGGCCCACCAGGUCUCAGAGGGAACAAAGGAGAACCAGGAGACCGUGGUCUAAAAGGAAUGGAAGGGGAGAAGGGUGACAAAGGAGAUCACGGAAUCAUUGGAGAGAAGGGAGUGAAGGGUGAACAAGGUGAGAAAGGAUCCACAGGCUUCCCUGGUGCACGAGGACCCAGUGGGCAAAAGGUAAGAGAUUAUUUCUUCAUUCACGGUUGCAUAUCUACUGGAUGGUUUUAUUUUUCUAUCCAAUAUUUAUAUACAGGCUGUUUUGCUUUGCAUAGGGAGAAAUUGGAAAAUCAGGAGAACCAGGAGAGCCGGGUCAGUCUGGGAAGGAUGGUAUUCCUGGAACCAGAGGGGAGAAGGGAGAAAUGGGACCUAAUGGAAUGCGAGGCCCAAAGGGCGAUCGAGGAAUGAAAGGAGCCUGUGGCCAAGAUGGAGAUAAGGGUGAGAAGGUGAUUGUCAGAUUUACUCUUUGAUUUCUUUGCAUUAUGAAACAUUAAGUAAAAGCUAAAAAGAUUGCUUGGGGAAGAAGUAAAAUACUGUACUUUGACAGACAUUAAGGCAAAGGAGCAGAGGGUUUUUUUAUGAAACAUAAUGGUUCUUACAUCUUGUUCCCUGAUAAAAGAAGCCACCAAUACAGAGGUGGUAUUCAGCAGAUUCUUACAAGUUCUGGAGAACCGGUACCGGAAAUUUUGAGUAGUUUGGAG